UGCAGUCGAACGGUAACAGGAAGCAAGCUUGCUGCUUUGCUGACGAGUGGCGGACGGGUGAGUAAUGUCUGGGAAACUGCCUGAUGGAGGGGGAUAACUACUGGAAACGGUAGCUAAUACCGCAUAACGUCGCAAGACCAAAGAGGGGGACCUUCGGGCCUCUUGCCAUCGGAUGUGCCCAGAUGGGAUUAGCUAGUAGGUGGGGUAACGGCUCACCUAGGCGACGAUCCCUAGCUGGUCUGAGAGGAUGACCAGCCACACUGGAACUGAGACACGGUCCAGACUCCUACGGGAGGCAGCAGUGGGGAAUAUUGCACAAUGGGCGCAAGCCUGAUGCAGCCAUGCCGCGUGUAUGAAGAAGGCCUUCGGGUUGUAAAGUACUUUCAGCGGGGAGGAAGGGAGUAAAGUUAAUACCUUUGCUCAUUGACGUUACCCGCAGAAGAAGCACCGGCUAACUCCGUGCCAGCAGCCGCGGUAAUACGGAGGGUGCAAGCGUUAAUCGGAAUUACUGGGCGUAAAGCGCACGCGGGCGGUUUGUUAAGUCAGAUGUGAAAUCCCCGGGCUCAACCUGGGAACUGCAUCUGAUACUGGCAAGCUUGAGUCUCGUAGAGGGGGGUAGAAUUCCAGGUGUAGCGGUGAAAUGCGUAGAGAUCUGGAGGAAUACCGGUGGCGAAGGCGGCCCCCUGGACGAAGACUGACGCUCAGGUGCGAAAGCGUGGGGAGCGAACAGGAUUAGAUACCCUGGUAGUCCACGCCGUACACGAUGUCGACUUGGAGGUUGUGCCCUUGAGGCGUGGCUUCCGGAGCUAACGCGUUAAGUCGACCGCCUGGGGAGUACGGCCGCAAGGUUAAAACUCACAUGAAUUGACGGGGGCCCGCACAAGCGCUGUAGCACGUGGUUUAUUUCGAUGCAACUCCGAGAACCUUACCUGGUCUUGACUACCACGAGAUGUUCUACAGAUGAAUUGGUGCCUUCGGGAACCGUGAAACAGGUGCU
rnacentral:rRNA from 1 species